AUUGAACGCUAGCGGCAUGCCUAACACAUGCAAGUCGAACGAGUGGCGGACGGGUGAGUAAUGUAUGGGGAUCUGCCCGAUAGAGGGGGAUAACUACUGGAAAGGGUGGCUAAUAACGCAUACUAUUGGAUGAGCCGAUAUGGGAUUAGCUAGUCGGUGGGGUAAAGGCUAACAUAGGCGACGAUCCCUAGCUGGUCUGAGAGGAUGAUCAGCCACACUGGGACUGAGACACGGACCAGAAUCCUACGGGAGGCAGCAUUGGGGAAUAUUGCACAAUGGGCGCAAGCCGGAUGCAGCCAUGCCGCGUGUAUGAUGAAGGCCUUAGGGUUGUAAAGUACUUUCGGCGGGGAGGCGUUACCCGCAGAAGAAGCACCGGCUAACUCCGUGCCAGCAGCCGCGGUAAUAC
rnacentral:rRNA from 1 species